AGUGAACGCUGGCGGUAGGCCUAACACAUGCAAGUCGAACGGCAGCACAGUAAGAGCUUGCUCUUACGGGUGGCGAGUGGCGGACGGGUGAGGAAUACAUCGGAAUCUACUUUUUCGUGGGGGAUUACGUAGGGAAACUUACGCUAAUACCUCAUACGACCUACGGGUGAAAGCAGGGGAUCUUCGGACCUUGCGCGAUUGAAUGAGCCGAUGUCGGAUUAGCUAGUUGGCGGGGUAAAGGCCCACCAAGGCGACGAUCCGUAGCUGGUCUGAGAGGAUGAUCAGCCACACUGGAACUGAGACACGGUCCAGACUCCUACGGGAGGCAGCAGUGGGGAAUAUUGGACAAUGGGCGCAAGCCUGAUCCAGCCAUACCGCGUGGGUGAAGAAGGCCUUCGGGUUGUAAAGCCCUUUUGUUGGGAAAGAAAAGCAGCAGGUUAAUACCCCGCUGUUCUGACGGUACCCAAAGAAUAAGCACCGGCUAACUUCGUG
rnacentral:rRNA from 1 species